rnacentral:snRNA from 1 species
AUGCUCACUUCGGCAACACAUAUACUAAAAUUGAAACGAUACAGAGAAGGUUAGCAUGGCCCCUGCGCAAGGAUGACACGCAAAUUUGUGAAGCAUUCCAUAUUUUU